AUUUAUUUUUUUUGGUCCAAUAGGUAAUUUACCUUGUAUUUCUGUCCUGUAAUUUUUUUCCCUGUCUGCAUCACUUUUUUUUAGGAAGAAAGGAAGAAAGAACGUACGCACGCGAAGCGCUAAAACUAGGGAAAUGUACUCACCGGACGCAGCCUGGCGAUCCAAGCCCGGCACUGCGCUCACAGAAGGCUGAGGCAAAGAAACAGCAGUUCCAGCAUCCACAGAGGACAUCAGCUGUGAUCCAGG